rnacentral:rRNA from 1 species
AUUGAACGCUGGCGGCAUGCUUUACACAUGCAAGUCGAACGGUAACAGGCCGCAAGGUGCUGACGAGUGGCGAACGGGUGAGUAAUGCAUCGGAACGUGCCCAGUCGUGGGGGAUAACGCAGCGAAAGCUGCGCUAAUACCGCAUACGCCAUACGGGGGAAAGCGGGGGACCUUUGGGCCUCGCGCUAUGAGAUGAGCCUGCGUUAGAUUAGCUAGUUGGUGGGGUAAAGGCCUACCAAGGCGACGAUCUAUAGCUGGUCUGAGAGGACGAUCAGCCACACUGGGACUGAGACACGGCCCAGACUCCUACGGGAGGCAGCAGUGGGGAAUAUUGGACAAUGGGCGCAAGCCUGAUCCAGCAAUGCCGCGUGCAGGAUGAAGGCCUUCGGGUUGUAAACUGCUUUUGUACGGAACGAAAAGCCCUGGGUUAAUACCCUGAGGUCAUGACGGUACCGUAAGAAUAAGCACCGGCUAACUACGUGCCAGCAGCCGCCGUAAAAC